AAUAGUGCAAUGAAGAGACUAAGUAGAAUAGAUUAAUUAUUUUACAGAGAAGAUGAGCCUUGGCUGUGAGCUCGUCGAAAAUAAUCCUAUUUGAAAACUAACUUGGAGCAGAAUUUAGUAGCAUUUUGUAUGUGAAAGUAUUCGGUUGACUACCUUAUAGUCAUCAAGAGGAUAUAUAUUUACUAUAUAUCAACUUGGGUGGAACCACGACAUAUAACUCGUCCCAAAU
rnacentral:ncRNA from 1 species